rnacentral:rRNA from 1 species
GGGUUGUGAGGUUAAGCGACUAAGCGUACACGGUGGAUGCCCUGGCAGUCAGAGGCGAUGAAGGGCGUGCUAAUCUGCGAUAAGCGCCGGUAAGGUGAUAUGAACCGUUAUAACCGGCGAUACCCGAAUGGGGAAACCCAGUGUGACUCGUCACACUAUCAUUAACUGAAUCCAUAGGUUAAUGAGGCGAACCGGGGGAACUGAAACAUCUAAGUACCCCGAGGAAAAGAAAUCAACCGAGAUUCCCCCAGUAGCGGCGAGCGAACGGGGAGGAGCCCAGAGCCUGAAUCAGCAUGUGUGUUAGUGGAAGCGUCUGGAAAGGCGCGCGAUACAGGGUGACAGCCCCGUACACAAAAGCGCAUGUGCUGUGAGCUCGAUGAGUAGGGCGGGACACGUGGUAUCCUGUCUGAAUAUGGGGGGACCAUCCUCCAAGGCUAAAUACUCCUGACUGACCGAUAGUGAACCAGUACCGUGAGGGAAAGGCGAAAAGAACCCCGGCGAGGGGAGUGAAAAAGAACCUGAAACCGUGUACGUACAAGCAGUGGGAGCCCCACCACCAAAGCAUUCUCUGGUGUUGAAGGCCCUGCAAAGCAGCAUCGCGGUGGCGGAGCGUCGUUUGCGACGCCCAACACACAAAACAAGCGGUGAAUGCUUUGGGGUGGGGUGACUGCGUACCUUUUGUAUAAUGGGUCAGCGACUUAUAUUCUGUAGCAAGGUUAACCGAAUAGGGGAGCCGGAGGGAAACCGAGUCUUAAUUGGGCGUUAAGUUGCAGGGUAUAGACCCGAAACCCGGUGAUCUAGCCAUGGGCAGGUUGAAGGUUGGGUAACACUAACUGGAGGACCGAACCGACUAAUGUUGAAAAAUUAGCGGAUGACCUGUGGCUGGGGGUGAAAGGCCAAUCAAACCGGGAGAUAGCUGGUUCUCCCCGAAAGCUAUUUAGGUAGCGCCUCGUGAAUUCAUCUCCGGGGGUAGAGCACUGUUUCGGCUAGGGGGCCAUCCCGGCUUACCAACCCGAUGCAAACUGCGAAUACCGGAGAAUGUUAUCACGGGAGACACACGGCGGGUGCUAACGUCCGUCGUGAAGAGGGAAACAACCCAGACCGCCAGCUAAGGUCCCAAAGUCAUGGUUAAGUGGGAAACGAUGUGGGAAGGCCCAGACAGCCAGGAUGUUGGCUUAGAAGCAGCCAUCAUUUAAAGAAAGCGUAAUAGCUCACUGGUCGAGUCGGCCUGCGCGGAAGAUGUAACGGGGCUAAACCAUGCACCGAAGCUGCGGCAGCGACGCUGAUGCGUUGUUGGGUAGGGGAGCGUUCUGUAAGCCUGUGAAGGUGUGUCGUGAGGCAUGCUGGAGGUAUCAGAAGUGCGAAUGCUGACAUAAGUAACGAUAAAGCGGGUGAAAAGCCCGCUCGCCGGAAGACCAAGGGUUCCUGUCCAACGUUAAUCGGGGCAGGGUGAGUCGACCCCUAAGGCGAGGCCGAAAGGCGUAGUCGAUGGGAAACGGGUUAAUAUUCCCGUACUUGGUGUUACUGCGAAGGGGGGACGGAGAAGGCUAUGUUGGCCGGGCGACGGUUGUCCCGGUUUAAGCGUGUAGGUGUGUGUUCCAGGUAAAUCCGGUUCACUUUAACACUGAGGCGUGACGACGAGGCACUACGGUGCUGAAGCAACAAAUGCCCUGCUUCCAGGAAAAGCCUCUAAGCAUCAGGUAACACGAAAUCGUACCCCAAACCGACACAGGUGGUCAGGUAGAGAAUACCAAGGCGCUUGAGAGAACUCGGGUGAAGGAACUAGGCAAAAUGGUGCCGUAACUUCGGGAGAAGGCACGCUGACACGUAGGUGAAGUGAUUUACUCAUGGAGCUGAAGUCAGUCGAAGAUACCAGCUGGCUGCAACUGUUUAUUAAAAACACAGCACUGUGCAAACACGAAAGUGGACGUAUACGGUGUGACGCCUGCCCGGUGCCGGAAGGUUAAUUGAUGGGGUCAGCGCAAGCGAAGCUCCUGAUCGAAGCCCCGGUAAACGGCGGCCGUAACUAUAACGGUCCUAAGGUAGCGAAAUUCCUUGUCGGGUAAGUUCCGACCUGCACGAAUGGCGUAAUGAUGGCCAGGCUGUCUCCACCCGAGACUCAGUGAAAUUGAACUCGCUGUGAAGAUGCAGUGUACCCGCGGCAAGACGGAAAGACCCCGUGAACCUUUACUAUAGCUUGACACUGAACAUUGAGCCUUGAUGUGUAGGAUAGGUGGGAGGCUUUGAAGUGUGGACGCCAGUCUGCAUGGAGCCGACCUUGAAAUACCACCCUUUAAUGUUUGAUGUUCUAACGUGGACCCGUAAUCCGGGUUGCGGACAGUGUCUGGUGGGUAGUUUGACUGGGGCGGUCUCCUCCUAAAGAGUAACGGAGGAGCACGAAGGUUGGCUAAUCCUGGUCGGACAUCAGGAGGUUAGUGCAAUGGCAUAAGCCAGCUUGACUGCGAGCGUGACGGCGCGAGCAGGUGCGAAAGCAGGUCAUAGUGAUCCGGUGGUUCUGAAUGGAAGGGCCAUCGCUCAACGGAUAAAAGGUACUCCGGGGAUAACAGGCUGAUACCGCCCAAGAGUUCAUAUCGACGGCGGUGUUUGGCACCUCGAUGUCGGCUCAUCACAUCCUGGGGCUGAAGUAGGUCCCAAGGGUAUGGCUGUUCGCCAUUUAAAGUGGUACGCGAGCUGGGUUUAGAACGUCGUGAGACAGUUCGGUCCCUAUCUGCCGUGGGCGCUGGAGAACUGAGGGGGGCUGCUCCUAGUACGAGAGGACCGGAGUGGACGCAUCACUGGUGUUCGGGUUGUCAUGCCAAUGGCACUGCCCGGUAGCUAAAUGCGGAAGAGAUAAGUGCUGAAAGCAUCUAAGCACGAAACUUGCCCCGAGAUGAGUUCUCCCUGAGACUUAGAGUCUCCUGAAGGAACGUUGAAGACGACGACGUUGAUAGGCCGGGUGUGUAAGCGCAGCGAUGCGUUGAGCUAACCGGUACUAAUGAACCGUGAGGCUUAACCUUACAACGCCGAAG